UCCUUGCUGAGGAGUCCCAUAAUAGGACGAAACGGCCGUCCAGUGC
rfam:Schistosoma mansoni strain Puerto Rico chromosome 6, complete genome